GAAUCUAGCUUNAGGUCGGGGACAACCACUGGAAACGGUGGCUAAUACCGGAUGUGCCGAAAGGUGAAAGAUUUAUUGCCUAAAGAUGAGCUCGCGUCUGAUUAGCUAGUAGGUGUGGUAAGAGCGCACCUAGGCGACGAUCAGUAGCUGGUCUGAGAGGAUGAUCAGCCACACUGGGACUGAGACACGGCCCAGACUCCUACGGGAGGCAGCAGUGGGGAAUUUUCCGCAAUGGGCGAAAGCCUGACGGAGCAAUACCGCGUGAGGGAGGAAGGCUCUUGGGUUGUAAACCUCUUUUCUCAGGGAAGAAAAAAAUGACGGUACCUGAGGAAUAAGCAUCGGCUAACUCCGUGCCAGCAGCCGCGGUAAUACGGAGGAUGCAAGCGUUAUCCGGAAUGAUUGGGCGUAAAGCGUCCGCAGGUGGCUAUGUAAGUCUGCUGUUAAAGAGUGAGGCUCAACCUCAUAAGAGCAGUGGAAACUACAUAGCUAGAGUGCGUCGGGGCAGAGGGAAUCCUGGUGUAGCGGUGAAAUGCGUAGAGAUCAGGAAGAACACGGUGGCGAAAGCGCUCUGCUAGGCCGCAACUGACACUGAGGGACGAAAGCUUAGGGGAGCG
rnacentral:rRNA from 1 species